UGGAUAGGAGACAAGAAGGCAUCUUCUUGUUUUUAAAAGACCUAGCAAUAGGUAUGCUUAGGGAGGAGCUUGCGUCACAUUAGUUAGUUGGUGGGGUAAAGGCCUACCAAGACUAUGAUGUGUAGCCGGGCUGAGAGGUUGAACGGCCACAUUGGGACUGAGACACGGCCCAAACUCCUACGGGAGGCAGCAGUAGGGAAUUUUCGGCAAUGGAGGAAACUCUGACCGAGCAACGCCGCGUGAACGAUGAAGUAUUUCGGUACGUAAAGUUCUUUUAUUAGGGAAGAAUAAAUGAUGGAAAAAUCAUUCUGACGGUACCUAAUGAAUAAGCCCCGGCUAACUAUGUGCCAGCAGCCGCGGUAAUACAUAGGGGGCAAGCGUUAUCCGGAAUUAUUGGGCGUAAAGGGUGCGUAGGCGGUUAAAUAAGUUUAUGGUCUAAGUGCAAUGCUCAACAUUGUGAUGCUAUAAAAACUGUUUAGCUAGAGUAAGAUAGAGGCAAGUGGAAUUCCAUGUGUAGUGGUAAAAUGCGUAAAUAUAUGGAGGAACACCAGUAGCGAAGGCGGCUUGCUGGGUCUUUACUGACGCUGAGGCACGAAAGCGUGGGGAGCAAACAGGAUUAGAUACCCUGGUAGUCCACGCCGUAAACGAUGAGUACUAAACGUUGGGUAAAACCAGUGUUGAAGUUAACACAUUAAGUACUCCGCCUGAGUAGUACGUACGCAAGUAUGAAACUUAAAGGAAUUGACGGGACUCCGCACAAGCGGUGGAUCAUGUUGUUUAAUUCGAAGGUACCCGAAAAACCUCACCAGGUCUUGACAUGCUUCUGCAAAGCUGUAGAAACACAGUGGAGGUUAUCAGUUGCACAGGUGGUGCAUGGUUGUCGUCAGCUCGUGUCGUGAGAUGUUGGGUUAAGUCCCGCAACGAGCGCAACCCUUAUUGUUAGUUACCAGCACGUAAUGGUGGGGACUUUAGCAAGACUGCCAGUGAUAAAUUGGAGGAAGGUGGGGACGACGUCAAAUCAUCAUGCCCCUUAUGACCUGGGCUACAAACGUGAUACAAUGGCUGUUACAAAGGGUAGCUGAAGCGCAAGUUUUUGGCGAAUCUCAAAAAAACAGUCUCAGUUCGGAUUGAAGUCUGCAACUCGACUUCAUGAAGUUGGAAUCGCUAGUAAUCGCGAAUCAGCAUGUCGCGGUGAAUACGUUCUCGGGGUUUGUACACACCGCCCGUCAA
rnacentral:rRNA from 2 species